rnacentral:rRNA from 1 species
GUAGGUGGCAAGCGUUGUCCGGAACUUAUUGGGCGUAAAGCGCGCGCAGGCGGUUCUUUAAGUCUGAUGUGAAAGCCCACGGCUCAACCGUGGAGGGUCAUUGGAAACUGGAGAACUUGAGUACAGAAGAGGAAAGCGGAAUUCCACGUGUAGCGGUGAAAUGCGUAGAGAUGUGGAGGAACACCAGUGGCGAAGGCGGCUUUCUGGUCUGUAACUGACGCUGAGGCGCGAAAGCGUGGGGAGCAAACAGGGAUUAGAUACCCUGGUAGUCCACGCCGUAAACGAUGAGUGCUAAGUGUAGGGGGGUUUCCGGCCCCCUUAGUGCUGCAGCUAACGCAUUAAGCACUCCGCCUGGGGAGUACGGCCGCAAAGGCUG